ACGGUCGGACGCAUUGCUGUCUGCCUGCCUGCCUGCCUGCCUCAGUCUUCGAACCUUCCCAAGCCUUCUAGUCAGAGACGGAGACGUACAAGUACUUCACGGAUUCGAUGAAACGAGCUCACACUCGUGAUAGGGGCCAUUUGUCAACCAACGGUUUACACGAGUUGCCGAGUCAUUUCGACUAACAGCCCGAGGUGGCCUGCCAUACUGUAACGUCAUCGCGUCACCACGCAAAUUCGCUAACUAUUGUUUCAAUCAAACAGGAUGGAUAAAUGAGAAGUGCGAAAUCGUGAUUGCAACGAAAUGAUCUCAGAACCGUUUAUCAGGUUGAGUUUUUGUCGCCGCUGCACGACGGUUACUCGCAGAAGCGGUUGAAGAAAAGAAGUUUAGAUGGAAGUAAAUACAGAUGGAUGGAUUGAUAGAUACAUAAAUAUCGAUUCAUUCGACGCUAGAAUUCCUGCUACAUCAGAGCCGCAAAGUAUUAUAGAAAAAAAAAAAUGCGCAUGAUUAUAAUACAAGAGUAUUCAUGUACAAGAUAUGAAUAAUGGAAAAGUAAAAAAAAGGUACAUAGUGAGACUCAUCAAUCGAUAAAUACAAUUCUGCAAUAUCGCGGCGACUAGAAAUGAGUGACAGAAAUGGGGAAAUUCCUCAAAUACAGGGAGAACGAGCGAGACGGGAGACACCGCGAGAGAGAGAGAGAGAGUGAUGGAUAUUUUAUUGGUGCCCAUAACAAUAUCGGACAAUAUCACUAUAUUACAUAUAAGUUUAUAUGCAUUACGUCGUCGUCAAGAGAAAAGAAAGCAAUAACUAAAAAUAAUAUAAAGCAAGACGAAAUCAUAAAACUAACGAUAAGACUAGCCUAACGAGAGGGUGGUAGAGAAAAGUCCGUAUUUUAUUUAUUUUUAUUUUCAUUUUCUUUAUUAAAACCCAACAGCCCAAAGGGCCAAUAAGAGGGUUACUCAAUUUACAUAGUUAUCGACAGAGACAGAGUUAACAUGUAUUGUUGUUGUAUGUGGAUUCUAUAUAAACUAAAAUUUCUAAUUUAAAUAUUUGAUAUAACAUAUCGAUCACAUUAGAUUUGGAUAUUGGUUCAAACAGCUUAAUUUGCGUUUAUUAGUGUAUUAAGUUAUUUAUUUAUUUAACUGUUUUCGCGUAGUGAAAUGAGAGUUGACGCAAUAGAGUUGGCCGUGAGGGGCUGAUUAAAACCAAAAAGAUCUAUGUUAUCAUUAUUGACAGUGAUAGCCGGGUGAUAAGGAUCUAGUCUGAGCAGAGGUUCAUUUACAUUCUCAACUGCACAUUCCAACAACCCGAAGAUUAAAUCAAGCAAUCUGUUUAAUGAAUUCAAAAUGUUAUUGUAUUGUGUUACGUUAAGAAAAGACGAGAAAGAGUGUAUAAACUCAGCCUUAGCGCAUACAUACCCAUUAUUAAUGUAUGAGUGAUAGUAGGGUGAGUUAAAAUCGUCUAUAAUUAAAAACUCUGCUGCGUCAAUAGUGCGGUGAGUUGAUAAGGUAUUGAACAGUUACUGUCGAAGGGAGUAUUUAAAGCUCGAACACAAACGGAUUUUACAAACGGAUGGGGGGAAGGUGGGAGACGCUUGAAUUAUAGGUAUACAAGUCGUGUAUGGGAUAAUGCAAUUCCAACAAUUGUUUACACGGAGCUCUUUUAUAUCCUAUAGAUGAUCAUGAUAUGGAAAUCAAAAAAAAAAAAAAAAAAUUAAUCUUCCAGAAAGACUCUGCAAUUAUACCACGACUUAUGCGUUACGCAAUUCA